AAAGGAAUUGACGGGGGCCCGCACAAGCGGUGGAGCAUGUGGUUUAAUUCGACGCAACGCGAAGAACCUUACCAGGUCUUGACAUCCUCUGACAGCCUCAGAGACGAGGUCUUCUGACUUCGGUCAGACAGAGAGACAGGUGGUGCAUGGUUGUCGUCAGCUCGUGUCGUGAGAUGUUGGGUUAAGUCCCGCAACGAGCGCAACCCUUGUUCUUAGUUGCCAACAGAUGAAGCUGUGCACUCUAAGGAUACUGCCGGUGACAAACCGGAGGAAGGUGGGGAUGACGUCAAAUCAUCAUGCCCUAUAUGACCUGGGCUACACACGUGCUACAAUGGCCUAUACAAAGGGUAGCGAAGCUGUGAAGCGGAGCCAAUCCCAAAAAGUAGGUCUCAGUUCGGAUUGCAGGCUGCAACUCGCCUGCAUGAAGUCGGAAUCGCUAGUAAUCGCGGAUCAGCAUGCCGCGGUGAAUACGUUCCCGGGCCUUGUACACACCGCCCGU
rnacentral:rRNA from 1 species